AGAGCUGUUGCUACUGCCUGCUACCUGAGUGCAGGAAUCUGAGAAGCUGAAGGAGGAUCCAGGGGAAGAUGGCCGCUGCCUUACACUUGUGUGAAGUCUAUGGUCUAAGAGACAGCUGACAUCAACUUUUGUCUCUGACCAUAGGAAUCUAUGAUUUUCUCUUAGAAAAUGGCAUGGAGCUAGGCUGCAUUUUGACCCUUCCUUGCAGGUGGCUGCAGCCACAUGAUUGUGUCCGGCCCAAAGGAAUACAGACAGCAGGAGCAUCUACCUUGUCUGGCCUGGCUCUAACACAUCCCACAGAAUCCUCCAUGUCUGGCCCACUUUCUUCUCCCAUUGAUGGCGGCUUAACACGGUCCGAGGGAAGCCCUUUAGUGCUCUGAGGAAAUGCGGACCCAUAUCAGGAAUCAGCAAGCUUGUUCUGGGAAGGGUCAGAUAAAUAUCUUAAGGCAUCUCAGGUACCUAAGUUCUCUGUUGCUGCUGCUGAUGCUUCUAGAACCCUUUAAAAAUAAAAAAUCUUUCUUAGCUGGAUUUGACCUGUGAACUGUA